AGGGUGCCUGAUCUGGCUGCUGCCAGGGGCGGGCGGGACGGCGCACCAUGUACACUCUCACCAAGGGGCCCAGCAAGCUGGUCGCGCAGCGCCGCACAGGUGCGCAGGGCGGGCGGGCAGGCGGGACGUCCUGACCGCUGGCCCCCGGCGGCUGACAGCGCCCUCCGCCCUGGCCCGCAGGUGCCACACAGCAGCAGGUGGAGAGCAGGCUUGGCGAGCUCCUGAAAUGCCGGCAGCCGGUGCCGCCGACCGCGCUACCCACGCGCGAGCAGCCCUCUGCACAGCCUCAGGGACCCUGGCCCCUUGCAAGUCCGGGGCCAAGGCUUGUGUUCAAUCGAGUGAAUGGCCGGAGGCCCCUCACCACCUCCCCAUCCCUCGAGGGGACCCAAGAGACCUACACAGUGGCCCACGAGGAGAACGUCCGAUUUGUGUCCGAAGCCUGGCAGCAGGUAGAGCGACAGCUGGAUGGCUGCCCUGCCGAUGACGGUGGCCCACGGCCUGUGCAGUAUGUGGAGAGCACUCCUGAUCCCCGGCUACAGAACUUUGUACCUAUUGACCUGGAUGAGUGGUGGGCACAGCAGUUCCUGGCUAAAAUCACCAACUGUUCCUAACAGCUGUCCGGGAAGGAAUGUUGCCAUAGUGGACCCUUUGCCAGAAGAGGACCAUGGUGCGCUGGUCCACCUUGUGGCUUGGCUGGGUACCGGCCACACCUGAAGUGCCAACAUUUGGACUUUUGCACCUGUUGUUCCCUUGGCUUGGCUGUCCCAAGAUGCCAGAGUCAGGGGUCAAACCUAUCUAACCUCAGUCCUGCUCACUGUGCCCAGGGACAAGCCCCUGGGGCUGGCAGGGAGGAGUUCAGGCUAAUAAAGUUGAUAAACUGCCC
rnacentral:lncRNA from 1 species